UACGAAGGGUGCAAGCGUUACUCGGAAUUAUUGGGCGUAAAGCGCGCGCAGGCGGCUGUUUAAGUCUGGUGUUUAAGCCCGGGGCUCAACCCCGGUUCGCACCGGAAACUGGGCAGCUUGAGUGCAGGAGAGGAAAGUGGAAUUCCACGUGUAGCGGUGAAAUGCGUAGAGAUGUGGAGGAACACCAGUGGCGAAGGCGACUUUCUGGCCUGUAACUGACGCUGAGGCGCGAAAGCGUGGGGAGCAAACAGG
rnacentral:rRNA from 1 species